rnacentral:lncRNA from 10 species
AGCAGGCAGGAUGGGGGUGGGGUGGGUACCCAGAGCUGUGAGAAAGUGCAGCAUCACCAUGAGUGAGAGAAGUUCACAGGGAGCACACAUGCCCUUGAGUGCUGAGCUAAGGACCUGGAAAAGAACCACUGUGAAUUCUGCAGCUAUGGAAACCCUGGGGCUGCCUGUGGUCAGAGAGGGGCUUCAAGAUCAGUGAUUUUCCAGCAGCUGGGAGAAUGGACUGGAACAGAUACCCCCUGAACCGUUCUGACAGCCCAGAUUAGAAGGGGGAAGGUGGAGGAAAGGCACAGACAAUUCAGAAGAAGAAAAAAAAGCGUCAUACCAUGAAGCUGGCCAGGGUGAUUCUCUGACUCCUGGAAUGGCAGACCUGAUCGUCUGCCCUUCCCACGUCUUCGCCGAUCAGUCCCCACUUUCCAGCCUGCACAAGUGCCUUGGAGCCCUACCCUUUGGAUGCAGCCAAAGCCAUUCCUAGCAGCCCUUGAGGGUUCUAACAACACAACUGUGGAGUCAGAGUCCUGUCUCCUGGGAUCCCAAGGCUUCAUCCAGGGACAGCUACAUGUAAAUCAGGAAGAGAAAUCUGCUGUGGAAAAGGUCUCCAUUGACCAACUGCUCCUCUGGUCUCUGCCUGUCCAGCAGACAAGUGCACUGCAGUAAUGAAAUCCACGACUUCCCACCUCUGCCAGUGAAGAGUCAGCAUGUACCGUGUGAAAGCCAGGAAGGCUCAUCUGUCUCGUGAGUGAUUUCCUUUCCUAAGGAAGGCCCUCCAAGGAGCCAUGCAUCUCUGGAACGGAUCACCCAUGCUGACAGAACUGAAGAUUGAACCUCUAACUAACAUGACUUGUGCAGGUGACAGGGAAAUUGUUUGUAAUAUAACUUCAUUUCUUUAAAAGCAGCUACGGAUUUAUACUUGGGUGAAAUUAUAUCCCACAUACUAAUUUAAUAAACUCCUCUAAGCUUACACAGAGUCUCUUCUUGGAAAAGGAUGUGUUUCUGAUCCACUGGCCAGUGCACUGAAUGAUUUCCCACUACAACCCAAGGGAGAGGGAGUAGUGAAGACUGAAAACUAGGCAAAGCCAAUUCGUAUUCUGAUGAAACUUUACAAAUGCUGCUUAUGACAAAACCCAGUUGUAAAAACUAAAGGGUAAGGUGAACACCCAAACCCUGCCAUUAAAAUAACAAAGAAAGGGGCUCCCUGCUACCUUUGGUUAAUCUUUUCCAGUGGAACCUUCUUGUCUUGUGUCUCAUUACCUCAAGUCCCAAGAUUUCCAACCCUGGGUAAAGACUGUCUCCUCAGGGCCAGGCACAGUGGCCCAUGCCUGAAAUCCCAGCAAUUUGGGAGGCCGAGG